rnacentral:rRNA from 1 species
UACGUAGGGUGCAAGCGUUGUCCGGAAUUAUUGGGCGUAAAGAGCUUGUAGGCGGUUUGUCGCGUCUGCUGUGAAAUUUCGGGGCUCAACCCUGAACUUGCAGUGGGUACGGGCAGACUAGAGUGUGGUAGGGGAGACUGGAAUUCCUGGUGUAGCGGUGAAAUGCGCAGAUAUCAGGAGGAACACCGAUGGCGAAGGCAGGUCUCUGGGCCAUAACUGACGCUGAGAAGCGAAAGCAUGGGGAGCGAACAGG